rnacentral:lncRNA from 1 species
UUUUUUAUUUUAUUUUAAAAUGAGGUUGUCACAUUGCAGUUGGACGGUAUCAUGCAACAUUCCUACCACAAUGUCACAUAAGGGAAAUCCAAUCUAAAAUUCAUGAUGAGGGAGAUGUGAGAGGUAGGAGAGAGGAGAAAGGUGAACCAUAAGAAAUAUGUUAUAGAAAACAUCUAACUUAACAGGAAUAUCAACAUAGAUGUUUCCUUUUAACAAAGUGUGAACAAUAAAGGCAUGUAAACCUUGAUGAAGUAAAUAUUUUCUAUUUAGCCAAUAAAAUCCCAUGAUAAAUGCGAUGAAGCUCGACUUGAGGAAUUUCAGAGGAUCUUGAAGGGAGCUUCGAGAAACUUAAACUCCAAACUUUUGAAGGGUGACAAAGCAACCCAUUAAACCCAACUCUAAC